rnacentral:rRNA from 1 species
GAUGAACGCUGGCGGCGUGCCUAAUACAUGCAAGUCGAGCGCUGGGGGGACGGGGGAGUAACACGUGGAUAACCUCCUAUAAGACUGGGAUAACGUGGGGAAACACGAGCUAAACCUGAUACUUGGAGAUCGAUGUUCGCUGCAUUAGCUGGUUGGUAAGGUAACGGCUAACCAAGGCAACGAUGCAUAGCCGACCUGAGAGGGUGAUCGGCCACACUGGAACGGAGACACGGUCCAGACUCCUACGGGAGGCAGCAGUAGGGAAUCUUCGGCAAUGGGCGAAAGCCUGACGGAGCAACGCCGCGUGAGUGAUGAAGGUCUUCGGAUCGUAAAACUCUGUUAUUAGGGAAGCGGUACCUAAUCAGAAAGCCACGGCUAACUACGUGCCAGCAGCCGCGGUAAUAC